rnacentral:rRNA from 1 species
GACGAACGCUGGCGGCGUGCUUAACACAUGCAAGUCGAACGAUGAAGCUAGAGCUUGCUCUGGUGGAUUAGUGGCGAACGGGUGAGUAACACGUGAGUAACCUGCCCCGAACUCUGGGAUAACUGCUGGAAACGGUAGCUAAUACCGGAUAUGACCAACGAAGGCAUCUUCUGUUGGUGGAAAGAAUUUCGGUUCGGGAUGGACUCGCGGCCCAUCAGCUUGUUGGUGAGGUAACGGCUCACCAAGGCGACGACGGGUAGCCGGCCUGAGAGGGUGAUCGGCCACACUGGGACUGAGACACGGCCCAGACUCCUACGGGAGGCAGCAGUGGGGAAUAUUGCACCAUGGGCGCAAGCCUGAUGCAGCAACGCCGCGUGAGGGACGACGGCCUUCGGGUUGUAAAGCUCUGUCGCAGGGGAAUAACACAAUGAAUGUACCCUGUAAGAAAGGAUCGGCUAACUCCGUGCCAGCCGCCGCAGUAA